CUGAUUUAUUGUUUUACAAUUGUUGCGAUUGUUGUUGAAAUGCUUACGUACGCUCGGAAAGUUUUUUUGCGAAAUUCGACUGAUAAGAUGGAGAGAAAGAGGAGAAGAGUGGCCAAACCGAAAGUUCGGCAAAACAAAGUUUACCCAUUUCAGGAUGACAAAGAUUUGCCUGCGACGAAAUGUGACUCCUGGAACAAAGGGGAGUCGCCGUUGCGAGCAAAUAAUCCCAAAGAAGGCUAAAGGUCUAUCGGAUAUUUAAGACGUUUAUUCCAUAAAUUCUUGUUAUGUUGCUGCAUUUCGGUUGACAUUUCUGAUUAGGAGACUUAAGAACCGGAAAAGAAACUCGCAGAUUUUAGCUCCGAAGACGACUGUAUUUAUAUUAUAACUCCAAUUACUUUAUUGACAAGAUUAUGUCUUGUUUAUAAAAUCGUGGCUUGCCAGCUUAAAAGUAUGAAGGAGUACAUAUCAGGAAUGGCAAUUUAACACAGAACAUUAAGGUGACCAGAUUUUAACACUGGUAAAGCGGAACAAAAUUGACAGAAAAAAGAAUUGGUUGUCUUCUUGAAUAAAAAUUGUUCUAGAUCAACAAAAUUUUAUCAUGAAAAAACGCAAAAAUUGUA